ACGUCUAUCGAAGCUUUUGUUAUAUUAAAGACAUAGACGGGACAAAAGAUAGAGCCAAACAAGACACUAGCGUCUCUGUUUCAUUGCUGCUUCCCUCUAUUACUGUCACAAAGGAAAAACCAAGGAGAGAAAGCCCAAUUGAGAGACAUGCAUGCAAAGACGGACUCGGAGGCCACUAGCAUUGACGCGGCUUUGUCAUGGCCGCCGCGCUCUCCGCCACGUUCGGCGACUAGACCUCUUUACUAUGUUCAGAGUCCCUCCAACCACGACGUCGAGAAGAUGUCAUUUGGGUCGGGUUGCAGCCCGAUGGGUUCUCCGUCACACCCACAUUACUACCACUGCUCACCCAUCCAUCACUCCCGUGAAUCCUCCACCUCUCGCUUCUCCGACCGUGCACUUUUCUCAUACAAGUCAAUCCGCGAAGCAAGCGGACGCCGCCGUUACAUCAACAGCGCCAUCGACGAAGAAAUGACGGCGGAGGAUGGACGCCCUUUCGAAACGUGCGUCUCUAUGGCUGCUUUGCUACUCUCCUUGUUCCUCUUGUUCACAGUCUUCUCUCUCAUACUGUGGGGUGCUAGCAAAAUCCUACCCUCCUAAAGUUGUGGUAAAGGGGAUGCUGGUGAGGAACUUUAACGUGCAGGCUGGGAACGAUCCUAGCGGAGUGCCCACUGACAUGCUGUCUCUUAAUUCGACGGUCAGGAUCUUCUACCGGAACCCCUCCACGUUCUUCGCCGUCCAUGUCACUGCUUCCCCUUUUCUCCUCCACUACUCCAACCUCCUCCUCUCCUCCGGUGAGAUGGAGAAGUUCACGGUAGGUAGGAAAAGCCGAAGGAAUAUAGCCACGGUGGUGCACGGCCAUCAGAUUCCCCUAUACGGCAGUGUAUCUCCCCAUCUCGACACACUGUCCCUGCCCCUCAAUCUCACUCUUGUCCUCCGUUCCAGGGCUUACAUUUUAGGCAGACUCGUUACCUCCAACUUCCAUACAAGGAUCAUUUGCUCCUUCACUCUUAAUGCCAACCGCCUUCCCAAACCCAUGUCUCUUAUCCACUCAUGUACUCAUCACCACUGACCCACAUUGCACACCUUUGUGUGUUCUUUGGAUAUAUAUUUUUUUAUAUUUUGCAAUCAAUCAACAAAUUCUUCCUUGGUACAACUCAUCACAUAUUGGUAAAUGCAGAAAAGGUUUCAGUUCCACCGAGUUUAUUAACAUUCAAGAGUGAAGAACAAUGGGCCAAGAUUCUACUUUAAAAAAAAAUCAAUGCCUAAAAUCAAACAUUAUCGGUAACUAUGUACAAAUAUACUAUGAGUAGCCUUGGAAGUUGGAAUGAAGAGAACCUCCUGCAAUCAUCAUGAGAGUGGUUUUGUCUAACAAUAUAGUUUCAGCUACAGGGUGAUCCAUACUUGUUAUUGUGUUUGUAUCCAUUAUUCUACAUAUGGAACGGGAAAUUUUGAAAUUUAUGAAACGUAUUGUUGUGUGAUACUGUUAUCUUGCACAUAAGGAAAUUUUAAUUCGUUUUAGGCAGUCAUCCCGAUUUCUUUCGUUGAUAACCCUAUCUGAAGUUGUCUUUCAACACAAAAUUUAAAUCUAUGUUUGACUCCACAAUUAUAUGCAAAGAAUUUGAUAGAAUUCAUCACACAUAUGUUACUGUAAAAGAAGGAAAAAGAGAGUGGAGGCAGAGGAAAGUCAAAAGGAAACAGAGGAAAAGAAGAUUGAUAUGAUCUGUAAGCUGAGCUGGUGGAUUUAUGUAUAUAUGAUUUACUGAUUCCCUGUGCGUUUUAUGUUUAUGUAUUUUUUUGUAAACAAGCUACACUGAUCUGUUUGUAAACAAGCUCCGAAUUCCAUGUUCUAUUGUCGGAGUUGCUCUGACGGAUGUGAAAGGGCAGGAUUUCACUUCCUUGUUUGAUUAAUCCAAGACUUGCUACUGUCUUCAGUUGCUGUAAAAUUCAGGUUAAUGGUUUCAUAUUUUAGCAGAAUCUGUGGAGUUGGGUUGGGCUGGACUGGUGAUUCCAUGUCAACCUUUGGUACACCAGAUCACAAACAAAGCUUUUCAUAUUUAAUAGGUUCCUGCAGGCGAUUUGGUCUUAGUAGGAGAGUUUCUCACUGUUUAGAAUGGUCACGGAUAUUCUGUUCAAUUUCGUAGAUCUUUUAUAUUCCAUUUGUAAUGUGAAGUUCGGAAUAUCACUAAAAUGUUCAUUUUUCAAAACUAUCACGUACAAGCUUUCGUUUCCAGCUGGUUACAUGCAUUUCACCAGCUUUCAUUUCGAGUUUGGGGCUUCUUUUAUGAUUCAGUUAGUGGACUACCUUUACAAGUGAAGUUAUUUGGA